rnacentral:rRNA from 1 species
UCAAGUAGAGAAGGGCGCACGGUGAAUGCCUAGGCACUGGAAGCCGAUGAAGGACGUGACAAACGACGAAAUGCUUCGGGGAGCGGUAAGUACGCAGAGAUCCGGAGAUAUCCGAAUGGGGGAACCCGGCACCGCGAGGUGUCACCUUGAAUGUGAAUAGAUAGCAUUAAGGAGGAAGACGCAGUGAACUGAAACAUCUAAGUAGCUGCAGGAAGAGAAAGAAAGAUCGAUUUCCCAAGUAGCGGCGAGCGAACAGGAAAGAGCCCAAACCUAAUGGCUUGCCAUUAGGGGUAGAAGGACUGUAAAAAGCCGAAUGGAAGGAUAGCAGAAUUAUCUGGGAAGAUAAGCCAAAGAGGGUGAGAGCCCCGUAAGCGAAAUCCGGAAAGUAGGUGAGCAGGAUCCUGAGUAGGUCGGGACACGAGGAAUCCCGAUUGAAUCCGCGAGGACCAUCUCGCAAGGCUAAAUACUAACCAGUGACCGAUAGUGAACCAGUACCGUGAGGGAAAGGUGAAAAGAACCCCGGGAGGGGAGUGAAAGAGAACCUGAAACCGUGUGCCUACAAGUAGUCAGAGCACGUUAAAGUGUGAUGGCGUGCCUUUUGUAGAAUGAACCGGCGAGUUGCGUUGUGGUGCAAGGUUAAGUCAGAAAAGACGGAGCCGAAGCGAAAGCGAGUCUGAAGAGGGCGAGAUAGUAUCAUGACGCAGACCCGAAACCAAGUGACCUACCCAUGACCAGGUUGAAGGCGUGGUAAAACACGCUGGAGGACCGAACCCACGCAAGUUGAAAAUUGCGGGGAUGAGUUGUGGGUAGCGGUGAAAUUCCAAACGAACUUGGAGAUAGCUGGUUCUCUCCGAAAUAGCUUUAGGGCUAGCCUCGUGUGAAUGAUAAUGGAGGUAGAGCACUGUUUGGACUAGGGGCCCGUCAGGGGUUACUGAAUCCAGAUAAACUCCGAAUGCCAGAUAUCAAUGCACGGGAGUCAGACUGCGAGUGAUAAGAUCCGUAGUCGAAAGGGAAACAGCCCAGAUCACCGGUUAAGGUCCCAAAAUCUAUGCUAAGUGGAAAAGGAUGUGGAGUUGCACAGACAACUAGGAUGUUGGCUCAGAAGCAGCCACCAUUUAAAGAGUGCGUAAUAGCUCACUAGUCGAGUGACGCUGCGCCGAAAAUUUACCGGGGCUAAGCAUAGUACCGAAACCGUGGAUGCAGGUAACUGCGUGGUAGGAGAGCGUUCUAAAGGCGGAGAAGGCAGAUCGAGAGGACUGUUGGAGCGUUUAGAAGUGAGAAUGCCGGUAUAAGUAGCGAAAGACAGGUGAGAAUCCUGUCCGCCGAAAGACUAAGGUUUCCUGGGGCAGGCUCGUCCGCCCAGGGUAAGUCGGGACCUAAGGUAAGGCCGAGAGGCGUAGCCGAUGGACAACAGGUAGAUAUUCCUGUACUAUUCGUAAUCGAUAAGAGCGAAGGAGGGACGCAGGAGGCUAAUGACGCAUGGAGAUGGAAUCAUGUGUAAGCGUUAAGGGAGGAUACGAGUCAAAUGCUUGUAGCCAAUUUUGAGACGUGAUGCGGAGUGAAAUCAAAGUAGCGAAGGUCAUGAAGUCACACUGCCAAGAAAAGCUUCUAGCCAGAGAGCGAGUACCCGUACCGCAAACCGACACAGGUAGUCGAGGAGAGAAUCCUCAGGUGAGCGAGAGAACUCUCGUUAAGGAACUCGGCAAAAUAACCCCGUAACUUAGGGAGAAGGGGUGCUGAAGAGAAAUCAGCCGCAGUGAAGAGGCCCAAACAACUGUUUAUCAAAAACACAGGUAUCUGCAAAAUCGUAAGAUGACGUAUAGGUACUGACACCUGCCCGGUGCUGGAAGGUUAAGAGGAUAGCUUAGCGAAAGCGAAGGUUAGAAUUGAAGCCCCAGUAAACGGCGGCCGUAACUAUAACGGUCCUAAGGUAGCGAAAUUCCUUGUCGGGUAAGUUCCGACCUGCACGAAAGGUGUAAUGAGUUGGGAUACUACCCUUGUUUGAUGGAUCCUCUAACUCGUCACACUAAGCGUGUGAGAGGACAGUGUCAGGUGGGCAGUUUGACUGGGGCGGUCGCCUCCUAAAGAGUAACGGAGGCGCCCAAAGGUUCCCUCAGAAUGGUUGGAAAUCAUUCGCAGAGUGUAAAGGUAGAAGGGAGCUUGACUGCGAGAGAGACAACUCGAGCAGGUACGAAAGUAGGGCUUAGUGAUCUGGUGGUACUGCAUGGAAAGGCCAUCACUCAACGGAUAAAAGCUACCCUGGGGAUAACAGGCUUAUCUCCCCCAAGAGUUCACAUCGACGGGGAGGUUUGGCACCUCGAUGUCGGCUC